CGUUGAUUUACAGCUGCGGUGGGCGGGGCUUAGAGUUGCUCAACAUGUCUGCGCCCUGAUCAACAGGUCUGAAGAUGUCCAAUCCGCAGCUGAGUAUCGGGGAGCUCCUCCUCUCAUUGGACAGCUCAGAGCUGCAGGAGGCUGAGCUAGUGAGAGCAGCUGUGAACCAGCAGCUGAGCUCAGACAGAGGAGGCGCUGUCCUCUCCUCUCUGGUGGAGUUCUACCUGGACUCCUCCUCUCCCCAGGUGCUCCUCCUCCUCUCCUCCAUCAGAG